GGGAGGGGGGCAAGCGUUAUCGGAUUUACUGGGCGUAAAGCGCACGUAGGUGGCAUGGGUAAGUCAAAGGGUGAAAGCCCUCGGCUCAACCGAGGAAUUGCCUUUGAAACUGCUUUGCUUGAGUCCGGGAGGGGGGAGCGGAAUUCCCAGUGUAGCGGUGAAAUGCGUAGAUACUGGGAGGAACACCGGUGGCGAAGGCGGCUCCCUGGACCGGUACUGACACUGAGGUGCGAAAGCGUGGGUAGCAAACAGGAUUAGAUACCCUGGUAGUCCACGCCGUAAACGAUGGGCACUAGGUGCAGCGGGUGUCGACCCCUGCUGUGCCGUAGUUAACGCAUUAAGUGCCCCGCCUGGGGAGUACGGUCGCAAAGGCUG
rnacentral:rRNA from 1 species